ACACAAAGAGCGCAGCGGUUGGAAAACUGCCCCGAUCCUUUGGCUCUCCCCCUCCCUGCUGCCCACCGUCCCAUUUGAAUCGAUGGAUUGGCAAAAAAAAAAAAAUAAAAGAGAGAGAGAGGACUCAGAAAUCAACGCUGCGAAAAAUCCCACUUCGGCAACGAAUGGGGCAGAUUUACCCAGCAGGAAAACGUGCAUAAAUCACACAGCGACGCCUAAAAAUCUGCCUCCGUUUCUGAGGGCUAUAAGCAAAGCUUUCCUUGGACAUUCUGCCCGCUGCCAUCAGAGAAAAGCAUCAUUACGGAGUCAUGCAGUGCCCUGCAGACAAAGGCAGAGACACAGAGGUGUGUGCUGAGCGGUACUGACCUGCUGUCGGUGAGAUAUCCGUUCUGACCGGUCUGCAACCGUGGAAAAGACGCGGAGAUGGGAAGGAAAGAAAAAGGGACACUUAAUCACUUGGAAAGCGACAAACCCCACGCUACUUCAAAGCAAAGAAGAGCAAAGCACUAACAGUAUGGGAUUCAGCUGGUGCUGUGCAUGAGUUGUAUGGUCACUCGGGAGCUCCUGCUGAGCCUCUCGUGCUCCUGUCCCACUCGGCUCUCCAUCCAACCCCCCUGGAGCCUUUGCCAGCAUCUGUGAGGCCGACAUCUCCCCUGGGCUUUCAAAUCGGAGCCCUAAGCUCUCUAUCUCAGUGCCCUGAGGAGUCCUAAGCUCUCUAUUUCAGUGCCCUGAGGAGCCCUAAGCUCUCUAUCUCAACGCCCUGAGGAGCCCUAAGCUCUCUAUUUCAGUGCCCUGAGGAGCCCUAAGCUCUCUAUCUCAGUGCCCCGAGGCAGCAUCGAGGUUGCUUUGUUAGUGGGACAACCGAGACCAAACACAGAAGGGUCCUCUCUUGGUAAACGCGGGCAGUCAUCAGAGCCACGUGAAAAGGCGGAGGGCUCAAAGUCAGCCCAGCAUCCCGGUGACAGCCAGCCCUGCCCCUGCAGCCUGCAGCAGAGCGCCGGCUCAGGCCCUGAGCAGAGAGGAAGGGCGGCCACUCAGCACCGUGCUGGCGUGGGAUGGCAGCUGCCCUCGUCCAGGACUGCAGGCAGAGCUGCUCGUUAGCGUGGCUGGAUGGCUCUGGGCCUGCGUGCAACACAGCUCUGUGCCUACCAACACGAGAGCCAUCCGAAGCCUUGCUGCCUCGAGAGCACUCAGUGCAGCGGCUGCCUGAACACACUCCCAUUGGGACGGAGGAAAGCAUCGUUCCCCAGCUACUCCAAAGCAGCAGGCAGGGAGCUGGACUUCCAACCUGACCCACAGCAGCCUGAACUGUCCCCAGUCCCAUCGUACGCCUCUCGGCACAGCACAGAGAGCUGCCUCCAGCUGGCAGAUAGCACUCAACACAGCAGAGCACAGCAGCCUCGCUGAGCCAGACGUGAGCACGGAGCAGAGCUCUGCCUUAGAGGAGUUCCACACAGGGAGCAGAGAUUUCAAGCAAACAACAACCAAGCUGGACGCUUUGUGAGAAAGGAAAUCAACCCACAUCCAGCCCACAAAGGCACAGAGCCCUGCCUGACACCUGAGGGACCCCGGGCAGCCUGAUGUAAGGGCUGGCAACCCUGCCCGUGGCAGGGGGGUUGGAACGAGGUGAUCUUUAAGGUCCCCUCCAACCUAAGCCACUGUGUGAUUGAGGGCUAGCACUGCUUGCUCGGGAGGCCAAAGCUGCAGAAAUGGAGAGAAACUGGGAGAGAAGGGCACGGUUCCUGGCAGCUUCAUCGAUUAACUCAUUCCAGACAUGCCACUGCAUAAGCUUAUAGUACUGCUGGACAGCAAGGAGCAAACCUGCCUCCUCUGUCAGUCCCCACACUUCUACUGCCAUGUGAAUUUAAGGGAGUGAACGUGUGGCUCCUCUAUCUCCAUGUCACAGGCAUCUUUGUUAGGAGCUGGAAUUCACUGGUAGAUACCAGGAACACUAGGAAAUUCGUAGAAAAGGCAACAGUGAGAUCUGACCUGUUAGGAUAUUCAAGGCCACCUUCUGCCCCAAGGUUCCAGGAAGACACCUGGCACGUCAGUGAUCUCAGCUUACCUCUCGUGCAAAUAUCCGCUCCCUGGCCCGCUGGUAUUCCUCCUCUCGCUCUUCUAUAGAUUUGCUCCUCCUCCCAUCCUGCAAGGGGAGUCUGAUCUGAAGGGACAAACACAGCUCAGCGGGUCAGUGGUUGCCAACGGGAGCAGAGGGUGCAGUGAGCUGCUGAUACGUCUGCACAGCACUAUGGGGACUGUGGGGUGCGUGCACGAUGCCCGGGUGCAAUAACUGCUGCCUUUAAACUGAACUCCUGGGCACCUGUGUUAUGGGGGUGAACAACUGUUCUGCCUGCAAGACUGUUCUGCCCGAUUCAGAGAGGACAGACAGAUGCCCACGGCAAAGUCCUCCUGCUCAGUCACACGCUGUGUGCCUCACCCUCUGAGUACCACCGUGGAGCAAACAGAACCUGGUACUGAUUGCAACGACCUCCUGAGUUCGGAAAGGUGAACCAAAGCGAGGGGUGAUGGCGUGGUGAUGUUAAGAUGGGUGCUACAAAAGCAAAGAGCGCGAGGUCCUGGGUGGGGAGGGGGAUCCCGGCGCCCCGUUCUGCUGUCCCUUACCUGAUUAUCAUCCCUGUCCAUGCUGGUGUCAUCUCGUUUUAGGAUAAACCGCUGUGGAAACUCUG